UACGAGGGGGGCGAGCGUUGUUCGGAAUUAUUGGGCGUAAAGGGUGCGUAGGCGGUUCCGCAAGUCCUGUGUGAAAUCUUCGGGCUCAACUCGAAGUCUGCACGGGAAACUGCCAGGCUUGAGGCAUGGAGAGGGAUGCGGAAUUCCCGGUGUAGUGGUGAAAUGCGUAGAUAUCGGGAGGAACACCAGUGGCGAAGGCGGCCAUCUGGAUCAACACUGACGCUGAGGCACGAAAGCGUGGGGAGCAAACAGG
rnacentral:rRNA from 1 species